AACGGGUGGUAAUGCCGGAUGCUCCAUCUCAUUGCAUGGUGUUUUGGGAAAGCCUUUGCGGCAUGGGAUGGGGUCGCGUCCUAUCAGCUUGAUGGCGGGGUAACGGCCCACCAUGGCUUCGACGGGUAGCCGGCCUGAGAGGGCGACCGGCCACAUUGGGACUGAGAUACGGCCCAGACUCCUACGGGAGGCAGCAGUGGGGAAUAUUGCACAAUGGGCGCAAGCCUGAUGCAGCGACGCCGCGUGAGGGAUGGAGGCCUUCGGGUUGUAAACCUCUUUUGUUAGGGAGCAAGGCAUUUUGUGUUGAGUGUACCUUUCGAAUAAGCACCGGCUAACUACGUGCCAGCAGCCGCGGUAAUACGUAGGGUGCAAGCGUUAUCCGGAAUUAUUGGGCGUAAAGGGCUCGUAGGCGGUUCGUCGCGUCCGGUGUGAAAGUCCAUCGCUUAACGGUGGAUCCGCGCCGGGUACGGGCGGGCUUGAGUGCGGUAGGGGAGACUGGAAUUCCCGGUGUAACGGUGGAAUGUGUAGAUAUCGAA
rnacentral:rRNA from 1 species